CUCCUGCAGGCCCAUGCUGCUGCUGCGGCCCCGCCGCUGCUCAGCCUCCAGCUUCAGGAGCUGCAGGUGCUCCAGCUGCUUUCGGAGGUCCUCGAUCAGCUGCAGGGCAACCGCCAGGCACUGCAACUGCAAAGACAGCCAGCCCUGCUGCUCCCAGGAGGUUCCGAUGCAGGUGCUGGGGGUCCUGCCUCCAGGCCCUCUGCUCCUGAGGGACCCCGGACUGAGACUGUCAUUGCACUGACUGGGGUCUUCCUGUACACCAGAUGGACAGAGGCCAAGCUGGGGAAGUCCCCAAGAUGCCAGAGGCUUCUGUGCUGGGUUGACUGCAGGUUGCUGACCUGGGGCUGCAGGGGCCUCUGAGGGCCUGAGGAGCCCUGAGAACCACAAGGUUGCUGGUGGCCACUCCAAGAAGCUGCAGGAGACUGACAAGGUCCAGAACACGGUGGCACUGUCCCCAAGGGCUUAGGGCGGGUAGGCGGCUUGCUCACAAGAGGCAGUGACACUGGGCCCUGCUUGCUCCCUGAGGGCCUCGUGAGACCCCUAUCUUGUGCCCCUCCACACCAGAGCACACAGAGGAGGCAGGAUGUCCACACAGCUGUGCCUCAACCUCAGCCCCAGUGGACAGGUCCCACGGGAGGUGCUCCCUGGUGCUCACAGACGAGAUACGUACUUUAAUUUGGAGCCCACUCAACUGUACUGUGCCAAGGCCAGGGGAGAACACUGUCCUGGCUGCCCUGACCUUGCUCCCCAGAAGACGGCGCCCCACUGCGAUGGCAGGCACGGAGGCCUCCCUGUGCAGGGCAUCCCGCACAGCUCUCUGCGUGCAGGCUCCUUCCUGCCACCCACUUUUGAAAAUGCCUAGGAGCUCUUCUUAGAUAAGGCAAGUAUCUUAGCUUUAAGAGCUGGAAGGAACACAAGCAAAAGAACCUGAAAUCUCUUUAUGAAUAUUUAAAACAACUGUAUUUCAAAAUCUAAAAGUACUACAUGCUCAGUUUAAAGAAGCCACAUGAGGUGGUUCAGGCCCAUAAUCCCAGCACUUUAAGAGGCUGAGGUGGCUCUGCUGAGAGUAUGGAGAGGAAAAAAAAACGACAACCAAAAACCCCAACAACAGCAACAAAACGAGGCCAAGGUGGGAGAAUCGCUUAAAGCUAAGAGUUCAAGACCAGCCUGGGCAACAUAGCAAGACCUCAUCUCUACCAAAAAUGAAAAGUUAGCCGGGUAUGAUAGAGCACACUUACAGCCCCAGUGACUCGGGGGCUGAAGCAGGAGGAUUGCUUGAGCCCAGGAGUUCAAGGCUACAGUGAGCCAUGACAGAGCCACUGCACUCCAGCCAGGGCACAGAGCAAGACCCCAUCUCAAAACAGACAGACAAACAAAAAACUGUAUAAAACAACUUCCUCCACUCUCACUACCCAGACACACAAGAAGGACAGACAACUCUAGAUUCCUCUGAUUAUAGGUAUUUUAAGUUA